ACUAGUGCGUGGAUGAGUAGAGUAAUUAUGGGGGUAAGGCACAGAAAGUCUGUAGUUGAUGAGAGCAGAUGCUUACCAGUAAUGAAAAUGACCUUUGAGCAUCUAGCCAGUGAAAGCUGGUUAGACGGAUGGAACCGUUAAAUUUUCUAGUAUAGAUUUACUGGAUGAGAAAUUGCUCGCGAGGGCAGUUUGAACAAGGGUGGCACCGCGAACGUUGACUCUUCGCCCCUUCU
rnacentral:ncRNA from 1 species